UCGCAUGAGUGGUAUAAAAUUUCUCUACAGAGCUAUUUACGUGGUCCAUAGUACAUGUGAAAAAAUAUUUAUUUUUCUCCAGAGUCCCUAUGUACUCUGAUACACAAACUCUUAAAGCCUUUAAGGUAUUUCCUCUCUGCCUCCCAGUAUUGUAGCAUAUUAGAUGUACAAUCCUUGGAUUCCAGGUAAAUGUGUGCAAGUUGCAGUAUCAAAAUGAGUUAGCCUCUUAGCUAGAUGCCAACUGUAUUUUACAAAUCCAUGAACUGUAAAUACAUUUGUGUGUAUAGUUGAUUGAGUCUCUCAUUGCCUUCUUUAGGUAUCUAUUAUAAUACUUAGCAACAUUAACUAUAUUAAUUGGUGUGACUUAGGUGGUUGUCGUUUUUAAAGAGUUUUUGUUUCAGUGGGCGGGGGGUGUUGGGGUUACUAUUCUACAUUCUCAUAUAUACCUUCAGUCACUUCCCCUCAGGUCAUUCUUUCCUUCGUUUCUAUUUUUCAUCCUUACCUACAUGUCUAAUCACUUUGGAAAAUUUGAAGUGGCCUAAUCAAAGUAGAUUCUUGACGUGCUAAUUUUCUUAAAAUGUGCCUCGAAACAUAUUUUAAUAAAAAUCAGUUUUAGUGAGUGUGCUGGUCUUCUUUAUGGUUGAGACUGCAUUGAUAUCCACUCAUUUUAUAGAGUCAUACUAUUUGAGAUUUCCUUCAACCAAAAAUAACAUUAAAUUUUGAUUUCUCAAAUAAAGCAUCCAUAGUAAAUUUUUCUCAGGUGCAGUACAAUACCUGCUCUUAGAGGAUGGACAUGCAUAUAUCCACGUCUUGUGCUUGAAAAGGUUUGAAAGAACAGAGGUAGAAGUUGUAUUGGGUAAUGCCUGUCCUCUUGAGACUAGGGCCUAAACUACACCAAGCAGGAUAUUGCACUAUGAAAGUGGUAUGUAAAAGGCAGGAGCCACACCAAGCAAGAUAUAGCUAUAUGAAAGCGGUAUAUAGUAUGUGUCAAUGGGCCCAACAAUUGUCAGUGCAUUUCAGUACCGCUAUAAAGCAGUAGUGUGACUCCUGCCUUUUAUAUACCACUUUCAUAGUGCAAUAUACUGCUUGGUGUAGAUUAGGCCCAUAUCUGCCUGUUAUCCUUCCAUUUUCAAGCCCCUUCUCAAAGUAAUAUAGAAAAUAGCCUCUGUUUCACCUCAUGUUGCUCAUAUUACAGUAUUCACUUUCUUUCCUAAACUAUUCUGUUUGGAUGGUUGGGGUCUUCCUAAGAGUCACUGACAGUGCGGUCCUAUGCAUAUCUACUUAGUGGUUCAAUGUGGUUCACUCCCAGCUAAGUGUAUAGAAUUGUAGCCUUGUUAGUGAACAGUACAACUGCUCCAUGCUUUAUAAAGUGCUUUGUGACCUUCACAUUUUAAAAAGGUAUACACACACUUGUAUUGUGACACUUACCCCCUGUCAUUAGCAGCUUUUCUUCAGUUUUUGGUAGUAUUUCACACCUGUAUGGUUUCUUGAAUUGGGAUUUUUGUAUUGCCUUAUGGUGCUGUGAUUCAUCAUGGUAUCAUAAUGAUUGCCAUAAUUGAAUACAAUUAUCUGUCACUGGCCUUUGGAAACAACUGUCUUCACUUUAGUAUAUGUGUGGCAUAUUUCUUUGCAUUAAUGAGAAGUUAUAUGCCUGCUUGCUGAAGGAAUUAAUGCCAAAGUUCCCAAAUCUAAUUACGGUAAAUUAAUGGAAACGAUUGAAGGAUUUAGUAAUAAUCCAGUGAGAUAACCCCAUUCACUUAGCUACAUCUACCAUAGCCAGCAGUUGGAGCCUUGUGCGUGGAUACUAUUCUCGAUGGUGGCAUCAAUGAAGACUGCAAAGUUUAUUGCAGUGUUAAUCGCUUCUAGAGAAGAAAAAUGAAAUAACAAUAGAAGACCUGCUUGUACUUACAAAAAUAGGAGCCUUGUUAUUUCUGGGGUCUACUUCAUGCUUAUAUCUGCAGCAUCUUUCAACUGGAUUUUCCGAGCACUGUAAGACACCUGAGUUUGAACACAACUAAAGUUUUGUAGCCUGGUAAAUAUUUCAUAAUUUUAAUGGCAUGUUUAUCUAAAUGUUUAUCUAAACCAGUGACAGGAAAGAUAACUGUUUCAGAAGUCUUAACUUCAAUUCCAGUUUACCAGAACAUACAUCCCAACUAUAAUUACAUGUAAGGAAAUGGGCAUACUAAUUUUUGGAUUUCCCUCCUACCCCAUUUUUCUCUAAUGCAAUUAAUAUGGCUCAACUACUCUGCAUUCACAGGUGACUUUUU